UCUUGCAUUGGUUCUCCCUAAUUCUACUGACCCCCUCAAACAGCUUUGGAGCUCAAACUAUUCUCUUUAGCAGCAGCUGGAUAAAAUAUCAAGCUGAAGACUAUGUGUGGCUCUGACAGCAGCCAAACCCAACAACAUAUUUACUUCAAAGCAGGCAGAAGGAUAGCUUGUCCAGCUGGAAAAAGCAGGAAGUGUGCUUUUAAAGGAGCAGAAGAAGGGGACAGACAAGGAGAUGAUUGUGUGGCCACACCAGCCUGACCCUAACUUCAAGCAGCUUCCUACCUUGCAGCAGCCUUCAUGCUCCAUGUCCCAAAUGAGAGCCAGGAGCCAGCCCAGCCAUCAACUCCUCCAACCACAAAACACACCAAGAUCAUCUAAGACAUCCUCCUCCUCAUCCAGGAUAGGAGAGAAGGCUCCUGCCAGCCUCAUGUCACAGAGCUACACCACAUCACACGUGGGGAGUUGUGAUUGCACCUCACAAGGGACUGAAAAGCGAGAAAUGGGCUCCGGUGAGUGAAUGAUUGCACAAUAUCUUCUACAUCUCAUUUCCUGCAUUUGUGGAACAUCUAUGCCCUGGCCUUGGCUUUUUACUGAUAGUAAAAGGCUGUGGCAGUGAUAGGGACAACACUUCCAGGCUCAGAUUGGAGGGCAUGGCAUGGAACUGUAUCUAUAAGGAUGCUGUGAAAGCUAAAAGCUGGUCUGGCUUGAAAAAGCAUCUGAGCAAGACAAAGCUCCCCAUGGGGAGCUGCUGGGGAGGGAGCAACAGCCACUUGGCUGUUCCUUCUGCAUCCAAAGAACCCCAAGAGCCCAGAAGAGGUGCUUGGUCCUUGU